rnacentral:hammerhead_ribozyme from 1 species
AUUCAUCUGACGAAUCCUAAAUAGGACGAAAUGGAUGUCCUGAAU